AACGUACGCUGGCGGCACGCCUAACACAUGCAAGUCGAACGAAGUAGCAAUACUUAGUGGCAGACGGGUGAGUAACAUGUAGGUAUCUGCCCUUUGGCCUGGAAUAACACGAGGAAACUUGUGCUAAUACCGGAUAAGUCUUUACGGAGAAAGCUUUAUGCACCAUUGGAUGAGCCUGCACUUGAUUAGUUUGUUGGUGGGGUAAUGGCCUACCAAGACUGUGAUCAAUAGCUGAUUUGAGAGGAUGAUCAGCCACAUUGGGACUGAGACACGGCCCAAACUCCUACGGGAGGCAGCAGUGGGGAAUCUUGCACAAUGGAGGAAACUCUGAUGCAGCGAUGCCGCGUGAGUGAAGAAGGCCCUUGGGUUGUAAAGCUCUUUCGUCGGGGAAGAAAAUGACUGUACCCGAACAAGAAGGUCCGGCUAACUUCGUGCCAGCAGCCGCGGUAAUACGAAGGGACCUAGCGUAGUUCGGAAUUACUGGGCUUAAAGAGUUCGUAGGUGGUUGAAAAAGUUAGUGGUGAAAUCCCAGAGCUUAACUCUGGAACUGCCAUUAAAACUUUUCAGCUAGAGUAUGAUAGAGGAAAGCAGAAUUUCUAGUGUAGAGGUGAAAUUCGUAGAUAUUAGAAAGAAUACCAAUUGCGAAGGCAGCUUUCUGGAUCAUUACUGACACUGAGGAACGAAAGCAUGGGUAGCGAAGAGGAUUAGAUACCCUCGUAGUCCAUGCCGUAAACGAUGUGUGUUAGACGUUGGAAAUUUAUUUUCAGUGUCGCAGGGAAACCGAUAAACACACCGCCUGGGGAGUACGACCGCAAGGUUAAAACUCAAAUGAAUUGACGGGGACCCGCACAAGUAGUGGAGCAUGUGGUUUAAUUCGAAGAUACGCGCAGAACCUUACCAGCACUUGACAUGUUCGUCGCGACUCUAAGAGAUUAGAGUUUUCGGUUCGGCCGGACGAAACACAGGUGCUGCAUGGCUGUCGUCAGCUCGUGUCGUGAGAUGUUGGGUUAAGUCCCGCAACGAGCGCAACCCUCACUUUUAGUUGCCAUCAUUAAGUUGGGCACUCUGAAAGAACUGCCAGUGAUAAGCUGGAGGAAGGUGGGGAUGACGUCAAGUCCUCAUGGCCCUUACGUGUUGGGCUACACACGUGCUACAAUGGUAUCUACAACAGGAAGCAAGACUGCGAAGUUAAGCAAAUCCCUAAAAGAUACCUCAGUUCGGAUUGCACUCUGCAACUCGAGUGCAUGAAGCUGGAAUUACUAGUAAUCGUGGAUCAGCGUGCCACGGUGAAUGCGUUCCCGGGUCU
rnacentral:rRNA from 1 species